ACGGAAGGCAGCAGUGGGGAAUAUUGGGCAAUGGGCGAAAGCCUGACCCAGCGACGCCGCGUGAAGGAAGAAGGUCUUCGGAUUGUAAACUUCUUUUAUAUGGGACGAAACAAAUGACGGUACCAUAUGAAUAAGCCACGGCUAACUACGUGCCAGCAGCCGCGGUAAUACGUAGGUGGCGAGCGUUAUCCGGAUUUACUGGGUGUAAAGGGUGUGUAGGCGGGACUGCAAGUCAGAUGUGAAAACUAUGGGCUUAACUCAUAGCCUGCAUUUGAAACUGUGGUUCUUGAGGGUCGGAGGGGUUACUGGAAUUUCCGGUGUAGCGGUGAAAUGCGUAGAUAUUCGGAGGAACACCAGUGGCGAAGGCGGCUUACUGGGCUCUAACUGACGCUGAGGCACGAAAGCAUGGGUAGCAAACAGGAUUAGAUACCCUGGUA
rnacentral:rRNA from 1 species